UCUGCAAUAGAUUUGUCUACAGUUGCUGCUAUUGUAUUACCGUGUUGUAUGCAUGUAACUGUGGCAUACAUGUGCUUCUUCUUCUUUUACUUUAUAUCGUUAUUCAGCUGCAUGAACCGUCCAUUGCUAUGUAAACAUAUAACUUAAUUAGUAGGAAUCAAAGAAUAUUGCAAUUACCAAUAAGUUGCAAACUGCUUCAAUUAUCUAAACAAAUGAAUAUAUUCUCUAAAAUAAAACUAGAAAUCCUCUUAUAGACCCAACAACUAAUGAGCCGUGGAAACUGUAAGGCACAUAUGGGCAGAAGCUUCCAUUCAUUAAGCUUCAGCUUGUUUACAGAAAAAGAAAUCUUGAAUUGUAUACAUUCAUGUGGUUAUUAUUUAAUGUUUUGAUGAUAGGGCUGUGAUGGGUCAAUACUCCUAGAUGAUACUUCUUCUUUCAUAGGGGAGAAAACCGCAGCUCCCAAUAAUAAUUCCGUGAGAGGAUUUCAUGUUGUUGAUGACAUCAAGUCCGAGGUGGAGAAAGUUUGCCCUGGUAUAGUUUCCUGUGCUGAUAUCUUAGCCAUUGCAGCUCGGGACUCUGUUGUUCUUGUAAGUAAAAUGGAAAAGGUCCAAAUAAUUAAAUUCCCUUCAAUAGAUUGAACUAUCUUUGAAUAUUAGUUACCUAAAAUCCUUGAAAAUUUGUUGUACCGGCUGCCCUAAUAGAUAACUUGAAUGACUUAAAGCAAUCAAUUAUGCUGCAGCUUGGAGGGCCAGGCUGGGAGGUUAAACUAGGAAGACGGGAUUCAAAGACAGCCAACUUUACUGCUGCCAAUAAUGGUGGUUUCAUCCCUUCUCCUACUUCUAAUCUAAGCGCACUCAUCUCCUCAUUCAGAGUUCAAGGUCUUUCAGCCAAGGACAUGGUUGCAUUAUCUGGUAUGAUCUCUUGUUUCUUUCUUGGCUUUAAUUAGGAUCUCUAGGUUAACAAAAAUAGCUUCAUGUUGGUAUAGGGGCUCAUACAAUUGGGAAGGCUAGGUGCACAGUUUUCAGAAGUCGCAUAUACAAUGAGGCGAACAUUGAUAGUUCAUUCGCAGAGACUAGGCGAAGAAACUGCCCGAGUGCUAGUGGCUCAGGGGACGACAAUCUAGCACCUCUAGACGUUCGAACUCCUGAUUGUUUUGACAAAAAAUACUUCCAGAACCUCAUGAACAAACAGGGCCUGCUCCAUUCAGACCAAGUAUUGUUCAAUGGCGGAUCCACCGAUUCCUUGGUUAAAAAAUACGGUAGCAGCACGAAGGCAUUCAAUUCCGACUUCGUCACUGCAAUUAUCAAGAUGGGAGAUAUCAAGCCGCUUACCGGGUCGCGUGGUGAGAUCAGGAAGAAUUGUAGGAAGCCCAAUUAAUAGGUGGAGAUUGUUUUUUCUCUUUGUUUUGAAAAUAAAAAACAAAAAUGGUGUUCACUUUUGAUAGUGAACUCGCCAUGUUUGUGGAUGUUUCUGUUUGCAAUGGAAUAAUGCAAUUGGCCAAAAAAAUAUGCCUAUGUAUAUUUCAUUGGAAGUGUACAGCUUACAAGAAAGGCUGGGUGUGCUGGAACAAAAAGUGCACCCCCUGCAAACACAAUCGUUUGACUGACUUGAUACUGACCAAAAAUAUAUCCCGAUUCAACAAUUAACAGCACCCAGAAAUCGGUACAAUACAGUAUUUACACUAAUCAUAGAAACACCCAUGAGGCCAGGAGAAGAUAAUCAAGGCAUAGCAGCCAAACCAUCUCAGUAGAGUUCCCGCAAAACAACAGACGUUCAAGAAGUUCACACAACAGAUUCGGAAGUUCACACAAUUACGGUCUGCCGACAAUAAAAAAUGACAGAUAUGAAGCAUUGCAACAAGGACCAGAACAGGGCAGAAAACAUACCAGGUCGGUAACCAGUAGAAAUUUGGAUGGGAAAAGGUCACGUCCUCAAGAACACAGGGAACCACACAAACUUAUGGCCAGGAAACAGCCAGAGGCCAAAAAGUU
rnacentral:lncRNA from 1 species